rnacentral:rRNA from 1 species
CGUGUUGUGAAAUGUUGGGUUAAGUCCCGCAACGAGCGCAACCCUUAUCCUUUGUUGCCAGCGGUUCGGCCGGGAACUCAAAGGAGACUGCCAGUGAUAAACUGGAGGAAGGUGGGGAUGACGUCAAGUCAUCAUGGCCCUUACGACCAGGGCUACACACGUGCUACAAUGGCAUAUACAAAGAGAAGCGACCUCGCGAGAGCAAGCGGACCUCAUAAAGUAUGUCGUAGUCCGGAUUGGAGUCUGCAACUCGACUCCAUGAAGUCGGAAUCGCUAGUAAUCGUAGAUCAGAAUGCUACGGUGAAUACGUUCCCGGGCCUUGUACACACCGCCCGUCACACCAUGGGAGUGGGUUGCAAAAGAAGUAGGUAGCUUAACCUUCGGGAGGGCGCUUACCACUUUGUGAUUCAUGACUGGGGU